GCAUAUUUGAAGGCCUCUAGGAAAGUUUUAGCUGGAUGGAAGACUUUGGAAAACCUUUACCUUGUUAAUUACAAGAUUCUUCAAGAAGCAGAAACAAAUUAGAAUAUACAAGAAAAUAAGAAACUGUUCAGAUUUCCAAUUUCCAUUUGAGGAUUUUUUUUUUAAACUUAUUGAAUAUUGUACUUAAGCAUGAAGUGAAUCUUAGAGGCCAAUUUCUCCUCAUUUGUGCUGUCAGGCCAUGAUCAUGGCCAAAUUCAGUGACUAUGUCCAAGCAGAAUCAUUUUAAGGAAGCGGUCGUUUGGAUUUUUAACCAUUGAAGACAACAAUCACAAUAGAUUGCAAUGGCUGAUAGUUUGGGCUAUCUUAGGAAAAGUGGUAUACAUGCAAUGACUGUCAUUGGAGCUCCAAAAUGGGAUGUGUGGUUUCAAUUAGAAGCUGACUUCACAUAAGAAGCCCUAGAUCUAACAAGAUGUUUGUAAAACUGUUCUCAUGGUGUAUUCAGUUUAAACAUUAUCUAGAGCCGGCUGACUUGCAGGAAGAGCUGAAGCUGAAAACAAUAUUCUUACUAAGGAGCACAGUAGAAAAGACAGUUUGGCAAGUCUUCCAUAUCAGGAGGAGAAAUGAACACCAGCAGGUGAGUGCAGGGGAUGGGGUGUGGGCCUGCUCAGCACAGGUACUUUUGUGUUCCUAGAAACAAGGAGAAGCAGGAAGGAUGCUCGACCCCUCCAUGGCUGCAGUGGGAUCAGUUCUGGCCGGAGCUGUGAUGCGUGGGGAGGCUCAGAGGAGGAGCUGCUGCAGGUGUGGAGGUGCCCACAGGACCCCACGGACCAGCCCAGGAAGAUCUCUAUUAUUUGGAAGAAAUACGCAUCUGUCUUGCUGACAGUGUAGGGGGAAGUUAUUCACCACUGUAGUGGCAUCAGAGGAUACCCUCAGCAGGAUUACCUUAUAUGAAUGAGUUUGAUAGGAGUCACCAUGGUGAGGAAAGGAUAAUGGAAUUUCAGACAAACUCUUCAGACUGAGAGAAAAAGUCCUCAACCGUGGUCUAGAAUACUGUCCAGUGCUUAUGGGUUAUAAAGUGAAAAUCAUCAAAACUGUCCUUGACAGGAUGUUUCUUUCCAUUAGUUGAUUAAAAUGGUUUAUUGUUGCCUACAGCGUCAUUACUUUAAAUGUGUUUUUUAACGAAGAGCAGAUGUGUCCAUGUCUUGCACUGUUUCCCUUUGUGUGGUUUCUGAUACAGAAGUGAAUCACUACCUUGGCAGAUCCUCCUGUGGAAAGGGAGAGGGAAAGGUGAGGGGCUCAGCAAUGGGCUGGGGUAUCAUCUGGGGAGGUUGUGCUGCAGAAAAUUGGAGGCAAAACAUGCAAACCUGCAAGCAGCAAAUGCUCAGAGUAGAAAAAAACCCCACAUCUGGAAUUAUCUGCCUGGUGUUGCUGUAUGUUUGCUCUGACAAAGCAAGAAGUGGGUUUUGGCAUUUUUUCAGACUGACAGCUCUAACGUUUCAGAUAAAGCAUGGAAGUGGAGAGUAGCUGAUCCUAAAACAUUAAACAAGGCUGCAACCCCAUGAACUCUCAUCUAUUCACUGCUGUUACAAAGAGAACUGAAAAAGUCGUAGUUUUUGAGAUGUAUGUUAAAUUUCUUUGUUUCUUGUCCCAUCCAUAUUUGAUGGGGGAGCUGCAAUCUCAAACAAAAAUCCUAUUUCCAAAUCUAAGGGUUAUUUCAAGCCUUAGUUAUAAAACAUGUACCUUUCCAUUCCCUAACAGAUUUUUUCUAAGGCAUGUUGUCAUCCGAUGAAAAUAGGGUCUUUCACUAGUAAAUCUCACAUUAUUGGCCAUGUGACCUUAUAUUCAAUAAAUAUUUAUAUGAGAAUCAUCAGUUAAUUAAUUUCCAUUGUUUCUGUUGUAAUUCUAUACAUGCUUAUGCUAUACAAUUAGAGAAAAACACAGGCAGCCACGAGUAAAUGUUGCGCAUACAAAAUGUUUCUAUUACCCUUUACUUUUAAAAUCAUUAAUACAUUAUUAGGAGAUAUUAACAUUGUAGAGCAUGGAUCAUAUUUGCCUGUUAAUGAAAUCCAUGAAUUAUACAUUAUUUUCUAUGGAGAGUACUAGGAACAAUAUUCUUCCUUUCUAAUAGCUAUAAAAGCUGGAGGUUUCCUGGAGCACACAUCACAUCCCCUCUGCAAUACCUUCUAAUAGAAAGAAAUCCAGCUUUUCAAAACAAUCUCUCACUAAAUGAAAUAGAUUUGUUUGUGUUGCUUUGCAACACACAAGUGUGACAGUUCAUUUUAAACAAAACAGUUUUAAUAAUGUCAUUACUAAUAUCUAUUUGGUCAUCUCUCUGAAAAAUGGUGUUUUAAUAGGAAUGUUUCAUUUUAAUAAAUGGCAGAAGAGGCAAGCUGCCCUGAGUCAGCAGGAAGUGGAUAUACACCAGAGAACAGGCUGAUUGUGUUAGAUUCAUCCAGAACAUUGAACAGCACACAGACAGUCCAAGAAAAAGCAACUGGCUGUAUUCAAAUGAUUAGUCUUACUGCUAUGCUGUAGCACAGAUUCACACAUUCUUCUAUUAUUCCUUGACCUUCUGCCAAAAACUCCUACUUCAAGUAAUAAUUAGAAUUAGUGUUUCCAGUGCAUGCUUCCAUCUUCCUAACAAACAGUAAUGAAAUGUGGCUUUUACAAAAUAUGCAGUUAAUUAAACUUUUUUUUUUUUUUAACAUUGUUUGAUUAAUACAUUUCCCCUGCGCUAGCCCCUCAUUAUGCCUGACUACCUGGGACUGGUGAAUUGUAAGAAAAGCACUAUCAAUAGGAUGAGUGAAAUUUGAGAAUUUUGUACAUUAAAAUUGCUUGUGCUUUUAAUUUUUUUUUGUUUUGUUUAUGUCUUGGAAUAAACCAAAAAGAUUAUCUUUAUUUGUAAUCCUGGUUUUUAAAGUAUGUGUAAGGACAGUAUUUGUAUUAUAUAAGAACUCUACAAAUACCCUCAUUGUGAAUUUGAAGAACACAUACAUCUAGCGCUACAAGAUAAUAAGUGGAUUUCUAGGCAAGCUUUUUGAAAAGGUGUCUCAGCACUCUAUUGCUUAAUAACACUAUGCAAAUAGAUAUUCUGAUUUCAUUUUUUAAAAUAUUAUUUCAUGCUUUUUUACUGCCUGCCUUAAUUAUCCAAAUGCUGAACAAGUAUAGUCUUUUGAUUGAUGAGAGUUCCACCCCUUUACCCACACCCCUGCAGAUAUGAGGCACUACAGUUUAGUACCAUAAAUCACUGUGAUUGUAUAACUUAACUACUGUAUGAUCAGAGAUCACAUGCAGUCGUAGCCUGGAUAUGCAUUCAUCCUUAUGAAUGUUUUAGGGCUAAAUGUAUUCUGGAUGUUUGGAGAAAUUUCAGUUUCUUCACUUAAGAAAGCAAUGCAUUUUAAAUAAGCAAUUCUCGCAACAACUGGAAAUAAUCACAAAAGUCUUCUAUUUGCAAUCUUCAUUAAUGUGAGUUAUUUCAUCACUUUAGGAGAAAUCUUUUCAGAGGAAAACAACAAUUAAACCCCUCCCCCCAGGCUCUGACAGCUAAGGAUCUAUGGAUCAGCCAUUUUAGUAAUUAACCACAAUUCCUCUGAUU